rnacentral:rRNA from 1 species
UACAGAGGUUCCGAGCGUUGUUCGGAUUCAUUGGGCGUAAAGGGUGCGUAGGCGGCGCGGCAAGUCGGGUGUGAAAUUUCGAGGCUUAACUUCGAAACUGCAUUCGAUACUGCCGUGCUAGAGGACUGGAGAGGAGACUGGAAUUUACGGUGUAGCGGUGAAAUGCGUAGAUAUCGUAAGGAAGACCAGUGGCGAAGGCGGGUCUCUGGACAGUUCCUGACGCUGAGGCACGAAGGCCAGGGGAGCAAACGGG